AGUCAAUGAUCGAAAGAUUGAUCUAGUUACUUAGAAAGAUGAAUUAUCAAUAUACAUCCCUCAAGAAGGAACUAUGUUUUUUCUUGAAGGAAAUUUGAAUAAAAUUAGAAAAAAGAUAAAAUUGAUUAAAAAUAAAAUCUAAAUUAUAGAAAAAAUAAUGAUAAUCUAUAAUAAUAGUCUUAACCAAAAAUAGUGCCAGCAGUUGCGGUUACACUAUGAAGGCUAACGUUAAUCAUUAAGGCUUAAAGGAUCCGUAGAACGAUAUAUAAUUUCCUAUUAAAACCCGAUAGACGGACUAUGUUCGAUUCCCGGGGGGAGGAGAUAAAUAAAAUAUAUUAGAGUUUUAAGUAUGAUUAAAGAAUAAUUAUAGUAAAGAUGAAAUAAUUAUGAUAAUAAUUAGACUGUUAAAGGUGAAAACAUUAAUCAAAAAUAAAACUGACGUUGAGGGAUGAAGGCAUAAGUAGCAAAACGGAUUCGAUACCCGAUUAGUUUAUGCAGUAAACGAUGAAUACUUCUAUGAAUAAAAUUUGUAGUAAGUGAAAACGUAAGUAUUCCGCCUGGUGAGUAUAUUCGCAAGGAUGAAAUCCAAGACAAUAGACGGUUACAGAUAAAGGCAGUGGAUUGUGUUAU
rnacentral:rRNA from 1 species